GAUGAACGCUGGCGGCGUGCCUAAUACAUGCAAGUCGAGCGAACAGACGAGGAGCUUGCUCCUCUGACGUUAGCGGCGGACGGGUGAGUAACACGUGGAUAACCUACCUAUAAGACUGGGAUAACUUCGGGAAACCGGAGCUAAUACCGGAUAAUAUAUUGAACCGCAUGGUUCAAUAGUGAAAGACGGUUUUGCUGUCUCUUAUAGAUGGAUCUGCGCCGCAUUGUCUAGUUGGUAAGGUAACGGCUUACCAAGGCAACGAUGCGUAGCCGACCUGAGAGGGUGAUCGGCCACACUGGAGCUGAGACACGGUCCAGACUCCUGCGGGAGGCAGCAGUAGGGAAUCGUCCGCAAUGGUCGAAAGCCUGACGGAACAACGCCGCGUGUGUGAUGAAGGUCUUCGGAGCGGAAAACUCUGUUAUUAGGGAAGAACAAAUGUGUAAGUAACUAUGCACGUCUUGACGGUACCUAAUCAGAAAGCCACGGCUAACUACGUG
rnacentral:rRNA from 1 species